rnacentral:rRNA from 1 species
AGAGCACAGAGAGAAUGCCUUGGCAUUGGGAGCCGAAGAAGGACGUGACAAGCUGCGAAAAGCUGCGGGGAGCUGCAAAUAAGCAAAGAUCCGCAGAUAUCCGAAUGGGGAAACCCUUACGGCGAAGAGCCGUAAAGCUUAUUGUGAAUAAAUAGGAAUAAGCGGGGAACCCGCCGAACUGAAACAUCUAAGUAGGCGGAGGAAAAGACAUCAAACGAGAUUCCGCGAGUAGUGGCGAGCGAAAGCGGAGGAGGCCAAACCUAAAGUAGAAAUACUAUAGGGGUAAGGACUGCGAGAAGCAAGAGAUGAGCUAACAGAAUCACGUGGGAAAGUGAACCGAAGAAUGUGAGAGUCAUGUAAGUGAAAGCGAGUCGAAGCGAGCAGGAUCCGGAGUAGAUGCGGACACGAGGAAUCCGCAUUGAAGAAGGGGGGACCACCCUCCAAGCCUAAAUACUACCCAAUGACCGAUAGAGAAGAAGUACUGUGAAGGAAAGGUGAAAAGGACCCCAGGCGGGGAGUGAAAGAGAACCUGAAACUCUGUGUUUACAAGCACACAAAGCACGUCAAGGUGCGAUGUGGUACUUUUUGUAGAACGGUCCGGCGAGUUAUUGUAUGCAGCGAGGUUAAGUAUUAAAGAUACGGAGCCGAAGGGAAACCGAGGAUGAAAAGUCCGGCGAAGUUGCAUGUAAUAGACCCGAAACCGGGUGACCUAUCCAUGUCCAGGCUGAAGUUGAGGUAAAACUCAAUGGAGGGCCGAACCGACCCCCGUUGAAAAGUUGGCGGAUGAGGUGUGGAUAGCGGAGAAAUUCCAAUCGAACCCGGAUAUAGCUGGUUCUCCCCGAAAUAGCUUUAGGGCUAGCCUCGUAUAUAUUUACCGGAGGUAAAGCACUGAAUAGGCGAGGGGCCGAGAGGUUACCAACCCUUAUCAAACUAAGAAUGCCGGAUAAAUGAGUACGGGAGUCAGACUACGUGAGAUAAGUCUCGUGGUCAAAAGGGAAAGAGCCCAGAUCUACAGCUAAGGUCCCAAAUAUACACUAAGUGGAGAAGGAUGUGGCAAUGCGAAGACAACCAGGAUGUUGGCUUAGAAGCAGCCACUCAUUAAAAGAGUGCGUAAUAGCUCACUGGUCAAGUGAUGCUGCGCCGAAGAUAUAACGGGGCUAAGUGUAUAACCGAAGCUUAGGCAGGAAAAACAACUGGGUAGGGGAGCGUUCCAUAUAGGGAGAAGCAUAAGCGGAAGCGUGUGUGGACAGUAUGGAAGUGAGAAUGCCGGAAUGAGUAGCGAGAAUUGCGUGAGAAUCGUAAUGGCCGAAAAUCUAAGGGUUCCAGGGGUAGGUUCGUCCGCCCUGGGUAAGCCGGGAGCUAAGGCGAGGCCGAGAGGCGUAGUCGAUGCACAUACGGUAGAGAUUCCGUAGCCGCCGAAGAUUUAAGUAUGCUGACACAUGAGAAGAGAUUAAGCCGGGCGAUGGUAGACCCGGUCGAAAGGGACUGAAAACAAGUAGGGAAGUAAUCAAAUCUUGUGGCGAGAAAAGGCAUAAGGGAUAUCGAAGGCGCCCGUACCGCAAACCGACACAGGUAGAUGAGGAGAGAAUCCUAAGGCCAACGGGAGAAGGGUUGUUAAGGAACUCGGCAAAUUGACCCCGUAACUUCGGAAGAAGGGGAGCCCCCUACGGGGGGUCGCAGAGAAAUGGCCCAAGCAACUGUUUACCAAAAACACAGGUCUAUGCUAAAUCGAAAGAUGACGUAUAUGGGCUGACGCCUGCCCGGUGCCGGAAGGUUAAGAGGAGAGCUUAGCGCAAGCGAAGGUUUGAAUUGAAGCCCCGGUAAACGGCGGCCGUAACUAUAACGGUCCUAAGGUAGCGAAAUUCCUUGUCAGGUAAGUUCUGACCCGCACGAAUGGCGUAACGAUCUGGGCACUGUCUCAACAGCCCGCCCGGCGAAAUUGUAGUACCGGUGAAGAUGCCGGUUACCCGCGACUAGACGGAAAGACCCCAUGGAGCUUUACUGUAGCCUGAUAUUGAGAUUCGUUUCAUUAUGUACAGGAUAGGUGGGAGACAGAGAAGGAUGUGCGUCAGCAUGUCUGGAGUCGACGUUGGGAUACCACUCUUGAUGAAACGGAUUUCUAACCUGCGUCCGUAAGCCGGGCGGGGGACACUGUCAGGUGGGCAGUUUGACUGGGGCGGUCGCCUCCAAAAGAGUAACGGAGGCGUUCAAAGCUUGGCUCAGCGCGGACGGAAAUCGCGCAAAGAGUAUAAACGCAGAAGCCAGGUUAACUGUGAGACCAACAAGUCGAGCAGAUACGAAAGUAGGAGUUAGUGAUCAGGUGGUAGUGAGUGGAAAUGCCAUCGCUUAACGGAUAAAAGCUACCCUGGGGAUAACAGGCUGAUCUCCCCCAAGAGUUCACAUCGACGGGGAGGUUUGGCACCUCGAUGUCGGCUCAUCACAUCCUGGGGCUGGAGAAGGUCCCAAGGGUUCGGCUGUCCGCCGAUUAAAGUGGUACGCGAGCUGGGUUCAGAACGUCGUGAGACAGUUCGGUCCCUAUCUGUCGUGGGCGAAGGAGAUUUGAGAGGAGCUGACCUUAGUACGAGAGGACCGGGUCGGACAUACCGCCGGUGCAUCAGUUGUACUGCCAAGUGCAUAGCUGAGUAGCCGCGUAUGGGAGUGAUAAACGCUGAAAGCAUCUAAGCGUGAAACAUGCCUCAAGAUAAGAUCUCCCGCAACGAAAGUUGG